rfam:Dipodomys ordii contig_44329, whole genome shotgun sequence.
GGGAAGGUGGCUCAGUGGUAUAGCACUUGUCUUGCAUGCAUGAGACUCUGGGUUCGAUUCCUCAGCACCCCA